rnacentral:lncRNA from 1 species
UACCAUCAAAUUAAAUAUCUUUUCCAAUCUUCUAUCUGUCACAAUAUUUCUAUUUACUCUGACCCCGAUCGUCCAAAUAAAUAUUGUCUCAUCCUUUAUCUAUCCCUUUACAUUCUCAAUUUUAAUCGAUCGACUAAAUAUUAUUCGCCUCGUCCGUUAUAUAUUACUUUUUCCGGUCAUCCGAUUAAAUAUUAAUCACCGUGACUAUUAUCUAUCUCAUUUAUCUCUGACUCCAUUUAUUCCGUAAAAUUCAAUUAUUCAUCAUAUCAAAAUAUUUCACGGGAGACAAAUAAACUUCAUACGUCUCUAUUUUAUCAAUUCACUACACCAGUGAUAUUUUUCGCAGGCGCAGUAUACAUCUCCGCACACAGCAAGCAACAACAAAUCCCAUCGCAUCGCCAUGCCGNNN